GCGGAUGUGGCGGAAUUGGCAGACGCGCUAGACUUAGGAUCUAGUGUUUCACGACGUGCAGGUUCGACCCCUGUCAUCCGCACCA
rnacentral:tRNA from 1 species